rnacentral:pre_miRNA from 1 species
UGAGCUCAAAUUUGUAUGGAAUUGGAACGUUUGCCUACGUUUGCCGCUAGGGGCGCUGUUCCAACUGCAUACAAAUUUGAGUUA